rnacentral:rRNA from 1 species
CAGCAGCCACGGGAAUACGAAGGGUGCAAGCGUUAAUCGGAAUUACUGGGCGUAAAGCGUGCGUAGGCGGUGAGUUAAGUCUGCUGUGAAAUCCCCGGGCUCAACCUGGGAAUGGCAGUGGAUACUGGCUCGCUAGAGUGUGUCAGAGGAUGGUGGAAUUCCCGGUGUAGCGGUGAAAUGCGUAGAGAUCGGGAGGAACAUCAGUGGCGAAGGCGGCCAUCUGGGACAACACUGACGCUGAGGCACGAAAGCGUGGGGAGCAAACAGGAUUAGAUACCCGGGUAGUCCCUGUCACUUAUAA